AGAGUUUGAUCCUGGCUCAGAACGAACGCUGGCGGCGCGUCUUAAGCAUGCAAGUCGAACGGCAAGAUUAGUGCUUGCACUAAUCCUAGAGUGGCGGACUGGUGAGUAACGCGUGGGUGACGUACCCUUUUGAUGGGGAUAGCUACUAGAAAUAGUAGAUAAUACCGAAUACGAUUCCGUAAGUUAGAGGUGCGGAAUGAAAGGAGCUUCGGCUCCGCAGAAGGAACGGCCCGCGUACCAUUAGCUAGUUGGUGUGGUAACGGCAUACCAAGGCGAUGAUGGUUACCCGGCCUAAGAGGGUGAACGGCCACACUGGGACUGAGACACGGCCCAGACUCCUACGGGAGGCAGCAGUAGGGAAUCUUCGGCAAUGGGCGAAAGCCUGACCGAGCAACGCCGCGUGAAUGAUGAAGGCCUUCGGGUUGUAAAAUUCUGUUAUAAGGGAAGAACGACUUUAGUAGGAAAUGGCUAAAGUGUGACGGUACCUUAUGAGAAAGCCACGGCUAACUACGUGCCAGCAGCCGCGGUAAUACGUAGGUGGCAAGCGUUAUCCGGAAUUAUUGGGCGUAAAGAGCGCGCAGGUGGUUGAUUAAGUCUGAUGUGAAAGCCCACGGCUUAACCGUGGAGGGUCAUUGGAAACUGGUCGACUUGAGUGCAGAAGAGGGAAGUGGAAUUCCAUGUGUAGCGGUGAAAUGCGUAGAGAUAUGGAGGAACACCAGUGGCGAAGGCGGCUUCCUGGUCUGUAACUGACGCUGAGGCCCGAAAGCGUGGGGAGCAAACAGGAUUAGAUACCCUGGUAGUCCACGCCGUAAACGAUGAUUACUAGGUGUGGGGGGUCUGACCCCUUCCGUGCCGCAGUUAACGCAAUAAGUAAUCCACCUGGGGAGUACGGCCGCAAGGCUGAAACUCAAAGGAAUUGACGGGGGCCCGCACAAGCAGUGGAUUAUGUGGUUUAAUUCGAAGCAACGCGAAGAACCUUACCAGGACUUGACAUCCCUCUGACCGGCUCUUAACCGAGCCUUUCCUUCGGGACAGAGGUGACAGGUGGUGCAUGGUUGUCGUCAGCUCGUGUCGUGAGAUGUUGGGCUAAGUCCCGCAACGAGCGCAACCCUUGCCAUUAGUUGCCAUCAUUCAGUUGGGCACUCUAGUGGGACUGCCGGGGACAACUCGGAGGAAGGUGGGGAUGACGUCAAAUCAUCAUGCCCCUUAUGUUCUGGGCUACACACGUGCUACAAUGGCCGGUACAGAAAGCAGCAAUGCCGCGAGGCGGAGCGAAUCUCGAAAACCGGUCCCAGUUCGGACUGCAGGCUGCAACCCGCCUGCACGAAGCCGGAGUUGCUAGUAAUCGCGGAUCAGAAUGCCGCGGUGAAUGCGUUCCCGGGUCUUGCACUCACCGCCCGUCA
rnacentral:rRNA from 1 species